rnacentral:rRNA from 1 species
UACGUGGAGGUGAGCGUUAUCCGGAUUCACUGGGUUUAAAGGGUGCGUAGGUGGGUCUGUAAGUCAGUGGUGAAAUCUCCGGGCUUAACCUGGAAACUGCCAUUGAUACUAUAGGUCUUGAAUUUUCUGGAGGUAAGCGGAAUAUGUCAUGUAGCGGUGAAAUGCUUAGAUAUGACAUAGAACACCAAUUGCGAAGGCAGCUUGCUACAGGAAUAUUGACACUGAGGCACGAAAGCGUGGGGAUCAAACAGG